rnacentral:lncRNA from 1 species
GAGCCAAAACCCUAUAAAUAGAUAGAUUCAUUACACUUUAAAGAAUACUAAAACUACACUACUACUACUUCUUUAACCCUACCCUUUUUGUUGGAGCUUUUCCACACAAUCGAACAAAUGACUCCAAGAAACUCUCUUACUCUCUUCCUUGCUUUCAGCCUCCUCGUCUUCACUUCCACAGCUGCCAGAUUAUUGUCAGCGCUCCCCGUCCUUCCCGUCCUCCCGGUCCUCCCCGUCCUUCCGGUCCUCCCUGUCCUCCCCGUCCUCCCGGUCCUCCCGGUGCUCCCGGUCAUCCCGGUCAUCCCGGUCCUCUCAACCAGGUCAAGGACACCGACCACCCCGACCACGCCGACGACCCCAACGACCCCGACGACCCCAACGACGCCGACCACCCCAACGACCCCGACCACCCCAACGACCCCGACCACCUCGAUACCCCGAACUUAGGUUCUUUAUCCUAGCUAGAGAUGCCCUAACAAACGGUGUUUAAGCUAGUGUACCUAAGAUAGGAAUCUCACCCAAGCCAUGUUGCUCAUCUAAUUAAGGCUUAGUUCACCUUCAAUAUUCCUCUAUCUCUUUUUUGUAUUUUGUAAUGUGUUUCUUUACCUGAACAAUAAAAUUAUUAUAAGGAUAUGUAUAGUCUCAUGAAGCAUAUGUAAAGGCCCAUGUCUGAGCAAGAUGGGUCUCAAAACAAGUCUCUUUAAUUAUAUGAAAUAUUAAUUUCAAAUUAUUAUGAUUUUGGUAACAAUUUAAGUAUUUUUCUCUUUUAUAUUUCUUGCAUAAUAAUUAAUAAAGCUUAAUUAAUGAGCUAUGUCAUUUUUAGUUUUAGUCUUUUAGAUUUCUAUUUUAAUAAGGUCAAUUGAGCAUGAAUCUAUCUUGCCUAGAAAUAUCUUCUUCAAGUACAUAUCAAUCGAAGUUGUUGUUUAUUCAUUUGAGCAUAAAUCUAUCUUGCCUAGAAAUAUCUUCAAGUAUAUCAAUCGAAGUUGUUGUUUAUUUAUUUUCUUAUUUUAUAUUUUGAUAACCCAAGUUAUAUCCCUAGAUUUAUGUUAUGGUGAUAGAUAGGUAUAAAGGCAUGCCUCGCAAAUCCUUUCCCCAACAAAGAAACCAUACUUGUCAAGUCCUAGGUUAUGUUCUUCGUGGCUAACAUGUUGUGUGGUGUUUUCAUCAAUUAUCUUGAAUGGUGGAACAUCUUCCUCUUCUUCUGGUUCGUCUUUAAUUUCUUUGCCGUCCCAUACAUCUUCUCUAGUAGCACAUUUGGUAUGAAACACAUAGCUCGGACACCUCUUACAAGAAAAAUUAACCACCACAACUCCAAUCCAUUUUCUCACGGAAAUCCAGAGCAAUCAUCGUGACUAGUGAAAUCACAGGGAAGACAUACAUAUGGGCUCCUAUAUAUCUCCAUUUAGCCAGCAAGUGGUACAAGUAAAAGAGAUGGACUUUGGCAUAAGGGUGAGCUGAUGGUCAUGGAUGUUUAGGUCGUGACGAUAUUGUGUUGGUGGCUGAUAUACACAUUGAAGAUCUAAGCUAAAGUCACAAGCAGAACAAUGAUAAAAGGCUUAAGAAUUAGCAAGCCUUUCUCCACACAAAGGACAUUUUCCAUCACUAUAAGCAGGUGGUUCAUCCUUGAAGAGGUUUAGAGCAUGUAAGGAGUGGGAAGGAUGUGUUAUUUCUGCCGCAUACGUUUAACAAUUUAUGUGAAAUGUCAAAUUGCAUUCACAACAGUUGUAUGGAUAUCCAUCACCAUCUUUUCCACAAGUACCACAUUAAAUCAACUUUUUACCAUCUCUAGCUUGAGUUUAUGUUCAUGGUGCUGAGGAACAUCAGUGACCUCCCACGGUGGAUACUUGGCACAACUGAAAUGGAAAUAUGAAGAACCAAACCUUCCUUUUCUUCUAGUUGGUACUAAAACAUCCUGCAAUUCUUAUAAAUGGUUAGUCACAAAAAAAAUGAAGAAGAAAGAAAUAAAACCAAAAUGUGACUAUGUGAGUAGGUAUGAGAAACCAAGCUGUGGUUGGCUGUUGAUUCCAUCUUCAUGUAGAGUCACGGAUCGUAAUAACAAAAAUAUUCAUAAGCUGGAAUUUUUAUGUUUAUGCAUAAAUAAGAUAAAACCAAAAAAAAAAGUAAUGAAGGGUAAACAGAAAAAGUAAACAAAGAUAUUAAACAAGUAAUAUUUUUGUUUUUUUUGUUUGUAUCCAUCGGCAAUAAUUUGCAUGUAGAAAUGAAAGAUUCACGUUGAUGUCUAUGUUCUAUGUAUGUUUGUUGAACAUGAAAUAUGGGGUAUGAAAAGGCUCUGACACUCUCUAUGUAGAAAAUAAAUUUGCGUCAUAUCAUUUAAAUAUCUUUGUUAUGAUUGCGAAUAUACAAAUUUUGUUAUCUUUGCGUAGGAUUUUUUGUACUACAAAAAUUUCAUUGAUUUUUUUUAGUACUAGGUAUAUUUUUUGUGAGAUAAUGUUCACGCAUAUCGACUUACGAAAUACGCAAGCACGUAGCUUUUGUUUUUCUCAUAUAAGUUAGUCGGUUCCAAAUUAGUUUUUUUCGAAAAUAGUCAUUUCCGAUAAUUUAAUAUAUACGAUUUGAUUUCAUAUAUAUAUAUAUAUAUAUAUAUAUAUAUAUAUAUUCAUAUAUGUAUUCUUGUGUUUUUUACACCAACAUUGUUCAUUUCGCUAACUUAGUUACAAAUUUUCACUUUUGCACAAACCAAAUUUUAAUACAAUAAAAAAUACAAGUGAAAGGGUUCUUUGAUGAUUUAUCUUAAAAAAAAAGAGAGGGUAAAAAUCAAGUUGUAAGACAUGAUAAAUCAGUUGCGCCCUUGCCUUAAAAUGUGAAAUCCUUAUUUAGAUCUACAAGGUUAUGGAUCACAUAGAGUUUAGGAAAAUAAUUGCAUUAUACCAUGGUCACAUGUAAAAAAAAUAAUAGUUUUUUUUUCUUUUUCUUUUGUGUGUGCGCACUAAAAGUUAGGGUGGAUUUCGAUUUUAGAAAAAAAAAUUAAAGAUAAAAUAUAGGUUAAAAAAUAUCAUGAUAUUUUGUUUCUUUAAUAAAUUUAAUUUUCAAAUAAUGAUAUUUUUUAGGUUGGUAAAUGGCAACAAAAACGAAGAGGCAAAGUCAACCUGGUAAGUAUAUUCAAAGCCACUCCUUUCAUAUAUUUGUUUAUCUUAUCAUCUUCAGAAUUAUAUUUUUGCCUCUCAAUUUCCAUUACAAUUCACUACAAAAUAAAAAAGUGUUAAUGUGAUUUUGUAUCUACAUAUAGAUGUAACGUCGGUCAUAUAAAUUGACACGGUAGUAAACAUUAUGUCGUUUAUUCAACCAACUUGUUAAGGGAUGGGCCAAAGAGACGACGUACGUUAUAUCUCAACUACAGUAAUAGUAUAACUCUUAUCUCUAUUUCCCCUUUAUGCAUGCACAAUAGAAAAGAGAGUCUAUUUUCUUGUCGGAGUCUGUGUGGAACUAUUAUGUAUAUUUUUGGAAAGAACAUAUGUAAUGGAGUGAUGAUGACACAUAUCAUGAUCCACAUAAUACUUUCUGAUUUAAGCAACUAAAGCUUGCAAACUUACAUAUUAACAAUUCAAAUUAAUAUCUCAUAGAAAAACAAAAGAUUAUUUGAUAAAGUUUUAAGUACGGAAAACAUAAAUUUAAAAUUUAUGAAACUUGAUUUAAUCGACAAUUAUAUUUACUAAUAAUAUAGAGUUUUAGGGAUGAUUAAAGUUUCACUAUUCGUCGAGCCAAAACCCUAUAAAUAGAUAGAUUCACUACACUUGAAAGAAUACUAAAACUAAACUACUACUACUUCUUUAACCCUACCCUUUUUGUUGGGAGCUUUUCCACUCAAUCGAACAAAUGACUCCAAGAAACUCUCUUACUCUCUUCCUUGCUUUUAGCCUCCUCGUCUUCACUUCCACAUCUGCCAGAUUAUUGUCAGGGCUCCCUGUCCUCCCGGUCCUCCCAGUCCUCCCGGUCAUCCCUGUCAUCCCUGUCAUCCCGGUUAUUCCGGUUAUCCCGGUCAUCCCUGUCAUCCCGGUCAUCCCGCUCAUCUCAACGUCAACGACACCUACCACCCCGACCACGCCGACCACGCCAACCACCCCAACGACCCCGACCACCCCAACGACCCCGACCACCCCAACGACCCCGACCACCUCGAUACCCCGAACUUAGGUUCUUUAUCCUAGCUAGAGAUGCCCUAACAAACGGUGUUUAAGCUAGUGUAUCUAAGAUUGGAAUCUCACCCAAGCCAUGUUGCUCAUCUAAUUAAGGCUUAAUUACGUUCACCUUCAAUAUUCCUCUAUCUUUGUAAUGUGUUUUUUUACCUGAACAAUAAGGCUAUUAUAUGUAAGGACGAUAUCCAUAUAAGUCCAAUAUAUAAGCAUAUGUAAAGGCCCAUGUCUGAGCAAGAUGGGUCUCAAAACAACUCUCUUUAACUAAAAUAUUAAUUUUGAAUCAUUGUGAUUUUGGUGAAAAUUUAAGUAUUUCUCUCUCUUACAUUUCGUGCAUAAAUAAAGCUCAAUGAGCUAUUUCAUUUUUAGUUUUAGGCCUUUAGAUUUCUAUUUUCAUUAAGCUGAUUUGAUUAUGAAUCUAUCUUGCCUAAAAAUAUCUUCAAG